GUGAGGAAUUUUCCGCAAUGGGCGAAAGCCUGACGGAGCAAUGCCGCGUGAAGGAUGAAGGCCUAUGGGUUGUAAACUUCUUUUCUUAGAGAAGAAUAUUGACGGUAUCUGAGGAAUAAGCAUCGGCUAACUCUGUGCCAGCAGCCGCGGUAAUACGGAGGGUGCAAGCGUUAUCCGGAUUCACUGGGUUUAAAGGGUGCGUAGGCGGAUAAAUAAGUCAGUGGUGAAAUCAACGGGCUCAACCUGUUAACUGCCAUUGAUACUGUGUAUCUUGAAUAUGAGAGAGGUAGGCGGAAUGUUGCAUGUAGCGGUGAAAUGCUUAGAUAUGCUACGGAACACCGAUUGCGAAGGCAGCUUACUAUUUCGUAAUUGACGCUGAGGCACGAAAGCGUGGGUAGCGAACAGGAUUAGAUACCCUUGUAGUCC
rnacentral:rRNA from 1 species